rnacentral:rRNA from 1 species
AUACGUAGGGUGCGAGCGUUGUCCGGAAUUACUGGGCGUAAAGAGCUCGUAGGUGGUUUGUCGCGUCGUCUGUGAAAUUCCGGGGCUUAACUCCGGGCGUGCAGGCGAUACGGGCAUAACUUGAGUACUGUAGGGGAGACUGGAAUUCCUGGUGUAGCGGUGAAAUGCGCAGAUAUCAGGAGGAACACCGGUGGCGAAGGCGGGUCUCUGGGCAGUAACUGACGCUGAGGAGCGAAGGCAUGGGUAGCGAACAGGAUUAGAUACCCUGGUAGUCCAUGCCGUAAACGGUGGGCGCUAGGUGUAGGGGUCUUCCACGACUUCUGUGGCGUAGCUAACGCAUUAAGCGCCCCGCCUGGGGAGUACGGCCGCAAGGCUAAAACUCAAAGGAAUUGACGGG